UGAAUACGAGACGCUAAGGCGUCGAAGUAGUGUAUGUCAUACUUCCAAGAAAAGCUUGCACUGUCAUAGAUAAAAAACGCCUGUACCAUAACCGACACAGGUGGGUAGGUAGAGUAUACUAAGGGGCGCGAGAUAACUCUCUCUAAGGAACUCGGCAAAAUAACUCCGUAACUUCGGGAGAAGUAGUGCCUUAUUCGUAAGGUUGCAAUAACAAGAUCCAAGCAACUGUUUAUCAAAAACACAGGUCUCCGCUAAGUCGUAAGACGAUGUAUGGGGGCUGACGCCUGCCCAGUGCCAGAAGGUUAAAGAAGUUGGUUAGCAAUUGCGAAGCUGAUAACUGAAGCCCUGGUGAACGGCGGCCGUAACGAUAACGGUCCUAAGGUAGCGAAAUUCCUUGUCGGGUAAGUUCCGACCCGCACGAAAGGCGUAAUGAUUUGGAUACUGUCUCGGAGAGGGGCUCGGUGAAAUAGACUUGUCUGUGAAGAUGCGGACUACCUGCACCAGGACAGAAAGACCCUAUGAAGCUUUACUGUAACUUGAAAUUGAAAUUGGACUUUAUUCGCGCAGUAUAGGUGGGAGGCGUCGAUUAUAAUCUUGUGGGAUUAUUGGAGCCAUCAGUGAGAUACCACUCUUGUAAUGUUAGAUUUCUAACUUUGAAUCAUUAUCUGGUCAAAGAACAGUUUCAGGCGGGCAGUUUGACUGGGGCGGUCGCCUCCUAAACGGUAACGGAGGCGUACAAAGGUUUCCUCUGAACGGUUAGAAAUCGUAUCUAGAGUGUAAAGUCAUAAGGAAGCUUGACUGUGAGACCUACAAGUCGAGCAGGGACGAAAGUCGGUCUUAGUGAUCUGACGGUACUGAGUGGAAAGGCCGUCACUCAACGGAUAAAAGUUACUCUAAGGAUAACAGGCUGAUCUCCCCCAAGAGUUCACAUCGACGGGGAGGUUUGGCACCUCGAUGUCGGCUCAUCGCAUCCUGGGGCGGUAGUACGUCCCAAGGGUUGGGCUGUUCGCCCAUGAAAGCGGUACGCGAGCUGGGUUCAGAACGUCGUGAGACAGUUCGGUCCAUAUCCGGUGUAGGCGUUAGAAUAUUGAGAGGAGCCUUCUUUAGUACGAGAGGACCGAGAAGGACAUACCUCUGGUGUACCAGUUAUCGUGCCAACGGUAAACGCUGGGUAGCUAUGUAUGGAGUGGAUAACCGCUGAAAGCAUCUAAGUGGGAAGCCCACCUCAAGAUAAGUAUUCUCAUC
rnacentral:rRNA from 1 species